rnacentral:lncRNA from 1 species
CUCAAAAGUUGGAACUCAAGUGAUAGUGACUGAUCUGAAUAGCAACACACAGACAGAUUUGGUGUUGAGCAGCAGAGCUUUAAUGGCUAUGGCGAAUAAGGGUAUGGAGCAAAAGCUAUUGAAACUUGGUGCUGCCAACGUGGAAUAUAAAAGGUAUAUCGAAUCAAAAUAAACGAAUUUUGUAUUUCAUUAUCGAAAAGUAGUAUUGAUUUACAAUUACUUUGUGUGUAGAGUACCUUGUGAUUACAAAGGCAAAAAUCUGGCAUUGAGGGUGGAAGAAUCAAGCCGGAAGCCCCAUUAUCUUGCCAUCAAGUUCUUAUUUCAAGGUGGCCAAACUGAGAUCGUAUCCGUUGAUGUUGCCCA